CUCAGUACUUUUAAGACAAUUUAUACUGAGUGUGCGUGUACAACUACAGCACCUCUGUCCUUCGGAAACUUACCUGUAGCUACUUUAGGCGGAUUGCUCUGAAUUGUUUUGUCUGUGCCCAGAGCCAAAUUAUCUGACUGUGGUUGAACCAGACACCAGUCUUGAAGAUGUGAAGAUAGAGCCAAAGUAUUAUCUGAAAGUGAAAUGAUUGGAGGAGUCUUGCCAGCAACCAUGGAAAGCUGAAAAUGCCUUUUGAGCAACCUGGAGCCCCAGAUUUUGAGGGUUGUAAUCUUGAAAUAGGCUCAGAUUCUCGGCCAGGAGAAAGAUAGAUUGGAUAUACCAACAGCACAAGGUUCCGGACCAUAG
rnacentral:lncRNA from 1 species